CACUGCCUCUGCUCUUGCUUAAUACCUAUUAGGCCUCGACUUUUACAGUUUUGAUGAGAGAUCCUUUCACAAGGAAUUGACCAGCAGAAUCUUCAAUUUCCCAGCCAAUGUCUUUUGAGUCUGCUGUGAAGGGGAUUCUGCAGAGUCCCAUGUCCACCUCCCACCUACACUGGCCACCACAAAAUAUCAAGUGAUAGAUGGUUCCAAGUGGAAUUUUGAAAACCUUCUGAAAGUUGCCCACCAUUAGCAAGGAGGGGCUUUGUGGAAUUCAGAUGUUUGGCCUUUCCAUUGAUGAUCAGUCAUCCAGAAAAAGUCUGGAAACCUCUCAAAGACCAGCUCAAGGUUUAGGAUCCAACACACUCGUGAACUCCAGCUGUUUUGAGUACAUUCAAUCAAGUGGUUUUCCAGUACGCACUGAACGUCUGUUCCCAGGAGCUUCUCCCUCAGUUUUAAUGGACCUCUAAUCUCACAACCAUACACCAAUUCAAAUGGACAUCAGCCAGCAGAAUCAUUUGGAGAAUCUCUGGGAGAAAAUAACAAGAAAUUGAAUCCUUUAUCCCAUUCCUGUGGACAUUUAUAAUCCAGUAUACCUGGAUCAUGGUUUAGAGAGUCUGAUGGUACCUCUACAAAUCUCCCUGUAUUUGCAGGCGAUACACAGUUGACUUUAAUUGUUGUAUUCCCAAACUACUAAUGAUUUUCUGGAAAACUUUAGACAUAAAGUUAGAACUGUGAUCAGACCAUUCCUUAAUUGGUAGUCUCUUUGACAAAUCUGUGUUAAGUUUUCCACCACUAAC